GAGCAGUUGUUCUCCAGAUACUGAGGAGGACAGACAACGUGUCUCUCCAAAAGAAGACUCUUCACUAUCUAAAUCAGGCCUGGGAAGAAAUGUCUACUCCAGCCUGGAACAGCAAUGCACCGAGGAUAAGACGCACAGAAAUAAGCACAUCUCCCUUGUAACGGCCCGGUGACAAGCUGCGUAUGGAUGCCGGCUCUGAGAAAGGAGCACCUAACAAGAACAAUAAUCUGUCAUUAUGUCAGUCGGGGCCCCAGUGUUCUUGCUCAAAAGGCAACAAUAAGGCGCUGACGCUGUACAUUUCCCAGAAGAUCGGAGAAUUUCCCUCUGCAGCCCAUGCUGUCAAAGACCACAAAAAAAUAACAAAUGUGUUUCUAUUAGCUUCCCAGUCAGUCAUUCUACAUUGUCUUCCAGCACCCUGCUGGAAGGAAGCUUGGGGGAGGGAGCGCCCAAUCGAUUGAGCUAUCAUUCUUGCUAGCCACCGCCCUUACUUGUGUUUCUGGGGAGGUGGGAAGUCACUUGCUACAGCAGGAACUCCAAUGCUGGCUCCAUUGUGAGCAGUUCACAGCCAGGCCGGAUUCUGAGCAGGUGAGACGGUUCCUUUAUGUGCUGCCAGAGAAGCCCACAACUUGACACAAAGAUGGCCAAGACACGAUUUCUGCAAAGCAAGGGCCUGCUGGGGUGUAAAUACUCUCGGGCUAUGUUAAAUUCUUCAUGUGACUGUUAAAACGGCAGCAUAUUUGCUCCUGCCUGCCGAGACUAAGUGGGGGCAUAUUUUGCUGGCUUUUGCCCGUACAGAGGGCAUGAAGGAUACCGAAUUGCCAGUCAUCGCAGAAGUGCCGAUGCCUGAAACAGAAAAACCCCCCGAUGCUGUGUUGCAAUAAAACCCCAAUAAGUACAAUCCGGCGAACACCAAGUGACGCCAGAGGCCUAAACACGACGUGUGCCUUUAUAAAUUCGCUCAUUGUCACCAAUGUUAACCAGCAAAGAGCCAAGAACUGCUCCAUGCAGGACCCUCCUACAAACUUUCCUGCUCAAUGACAAUUCCCCACUUACAGCCCUUCUUCUGAAGACGGGAAAAUGGCAAGUGAGCGAUUAAAAUUCUACACCCAGCGCUGAUCCAAAAGUUUGAACAGUCAAGUCUGAAGAGAACAAUUGGGGGGAAGCAAUUGAUCCGUGUCUAAAGGCCAUUCACAAAGUCCCCUCUGGGCUCUCCGGCUAUGCAGCAGAGGAAGCGUCUGGAAGGUGCUUAUCACUGAAUUCCAAGGCAUUCCAGGGAAGUUUUGGCAGCAGGAAGGGGACUAUAAAGUGUAACAACCCGGCUUAUCAUAUCCAAACUCUGCUUUUGAGCUCCCGGUGCAUGACCCCAGGGACCAUUAUUAGUCUUGUGGGCUGGGGGAAGACUAUGACAUUCCCUGUUAUGAAAGGAACACAGUGUAGCAACUUCUACGAUGAAUUCAGGGAGCAAGUAUGACAUGUUCCAACCAGCCUCGGGGUCGCAAAGUCAACCGGCACAAAACAGCAGCGACCGUGAGAUGUGCUGAUAAAGACCGAUGGGAGGGGGGAAGAAAUAAACUUCCUUUCAUGGGGAUCCCUCUCUUUUGUGGGCACAGUUUGUACCUUAGCCCAGGCAACAAUAUUUCCCCUAAUUCACAAAGAUUCCGCUGCCUAUUGAGUCUGCUUGUCCUGCACUUACAAAUCAGUGUAAAGUCCCUUGUGAGCCAAGGAAGCUA